GGAAUAUUGCACAAUGGGCGCAAGCCUGAUGCAGCCAUGCCGCGUGUAUGAAGAAGGCCUUCGGUAUGUAAACUUCUAUCAGCAGGGAAGAAAAUGACGGUACCUGACUAAGAAGCCCCGGCUAACUACGUGCCAGCAGCCGCGGUAAUACGGAGGGUGCAAGCGUUAAUCGGAAUUACUGGGCGUAAAGCGCACGCAGGCGGUUUGUUAAGUCAGAUGUGAAAUCCCCGGGCUCAACCUGGGAACUGCAUCUGAUACUGGCAAGCUUGAGUCUCGUAGAGGGGGGUAGAAUUCCAGGUGUAGCGGUGAAAUGCGUAGAGAUCUGGAGGAAUACCGGUGGCGAAGGCGGCCCCCUGGACGAAGACUGACGCUCAGGUGCGAAAGCGUGGGGAGC
rnacentral:rRNA from 1 species